rnacentral:rRNA from 1 species
AUUGAACGCUGGCGGCAUGCCUUACACAUGCAUGUCGAACGGCAGCAUGGAGAGCUUGCUCUCUGAUGGCGAGUGGCGAACGGGUGAGUAAUGCAUCAGAACGUACCGUGUAAUGGGGGAUAACGUAGCGAAAGUUACGCUAAUACCGCAUACGACCUGAGGGUGAAAGCAGGGGAUCGCAAGACCUUGCGUUAUACGAGCGGCCGAUGUCAGAUUAGCGAGUUGGUGAGGUAAAGGCUCACCAAGGCGACGAUCGCUAGCGGGUCUGAGAGGAUGAUCCGCCACACUGGGACUGAGACACGGCCCAGACUCCUACGGGAGGCAGCAGUGGGGAAUUUUGGACAAUGGGGGCAACCCUGAUCCAGCCAUGCCGCGUGAGUGAAGAAGGCCUUCGGGUUGUAAAGCUCUUUCGGCCGGGAAGAAAUCGCACAGGCUAAUACUCUGUGUGGAUGACGGUACCGGCAUAAGAAGCACCGGCUAACUACGUGCCAGCCGCCGCCGUAA